rnacentral:tRNA from 1 species
GCGUAGAUAACAGUUACUUCGCCUACUAAGCGGGUGGCGCAGGUUCGAAUCCUGUCGCGA